UACGGAGGAUCCGAGCGUUAUCCGGAUUUAUUGGGUUUAAAGGGUGCGUAGGCGGGAGAUUAGGUCAGUGGUGAAAGUUUGCGGCUCAACCGUAAAAUUGCCAUUGAUACUGGUUUUCUUGAGUACAAUUGAGGCAGGCGGAAUGUGGUGUGUAGCGGUGAAAUGCUUAGAUAUGCCACAGAACACCGAUUGCGAAGGCAGCUUGCCAAGCUGUGACUGACGCUGAAGCACGAAAGCAUGGGGAUCAAACAGG
rnacentral:rRNA from 1 species